CGCGCGCUGUCCCCCGGAGGCGUCUGGGUGUGCGGAGCGCGCGCGCGCGGCUUGGAGGCGCACCUGUGAGGUGUCCCUUGAGGAGAGGGAGGGUGGGUGCGCGGAGUCCGCGGCCUGGGGCGCUUCAACCCCUCACUUGGAAGCGCCUCGCGUUCCAGCAGAGCCAGCCGAGCAUCCUACUCAGGUGAUGAGGAACCCUCCCGGCACCCAGCGCAGAUCGCUGCUGGCGCUGGACGCCUCCAUUGUUUGACCAUAACAAGGGCCGGAUUCUCAACCCAGCAGGAUCCCGAGGCUUUUGUUGCCCUUCAGCCACUGUGGGCCCUGCCUCUGCCUCUUCUUCUGGAAUGUCUUGGGGGUUUUGACUUCUGUCACUGUGCUCCAGAAGCAACAUUUUCCCUUCUGAAGUUCCAAGUGGAGUGCGUUUUCCUUCGUGUGCCUUUUAUGCAGGACAGCUGCUUCUCAUACUCACAUACCUGCAAAUCCAAGAGACACGUCUCUCUGGAAGAUAAGAGCUCCUUCCUCAAGAUCAAAAAAGGAGACUGCCGGAGUGACACCUGCGUAGGGAAUCCUCACGAGGAAGGACUGACACACCUGGACCCAAGGCGCUGGCUUCCCGGGAGGCUCCUGUCUGAUGUGCAGGAGGCAGGAUGUCAUUGUGACUCUGCAAGGGGAGGCUCCUGGUGACCGAGACCAGCACGCAGUAUCACACCCUUGGCUGCAGGGGACACAGUGCAGACCUUUUCCUGCAACUGAGAAGUACGAGAUUAUUCUGCAAGAGGAAGAUUCCAGGGGCUUAAAAACGCAAAGGUUUCUACCUUGGGAGCCCCUUGGAAUGUUGGCAGCUCAGGAUCUCAAAGAAAGUUCUGUGUUAACGAGUUACAGAGUCCACGCGGAAGUAAAUGUCACUUUCUAAUCAAUAAUAAUACCGAGUGAGGAGCACUAUGCAGGGAGGAACCUUCCAUAGAAAGACAGGCAGGGGAGAGCUUAGGCCGGCCUCGAACCUCCCGAGCAGAGCCAGCCUGAGAUAAGCACCAAAAUGGCCAAGUGAGAGACUCUGUGAAAUAGCAGCCCUGUAACUGUAGUAGUUGUGAGGAAAUCUUCUCCGCUAAAU
rnacentral:lncRNA from 1 species